GUCUACAGCCAUACCACCCUGAACGCGCCCGAUCUCGUCUGAUCUCGGAAGCUAAGCAGGGUCGGGCUUGGUUAGUACUUGGAUGGGAGAAUCUGUGAAUACUUGGUAUUUUAAGAA
ensembl:rRNA 5S_rRNA 5S ribosomal RNA